AGAGUUUGAUCCUGGCUCAGGAUGAACGCUUAGCUACAGGCUUAACACAUGCAAGUCGAGGGAAACGAUAUUGGAAGCUUGCUUCCGAUAGGCGUCGACCGGCGCACGGGUGAGUAACGCGUAUCCAACCUGCCCACCACUUGGGGAUAACCUUGCGAAAGUAAGACUAAUACCCAAUGAUAUCUCUAGAAGACAUCUGAAAGAGAUUAAAGAUUUAUCGGUGAUGGAUGGGGAUGCGUCUGAUUAGCUUGUUGGCGGGGUAACGGCCCACCAAGGCGACGAUCAGUAGGGGUUCUGAGAGGAAGGUCCCUCACAUUGGAACUGAGACACGGUCCAAACUCCUACGGGAGGCAGCA
rnacentral:rRNA from 1 species